CGGGACGGGUGAGUAAUGCUUGGGAAUCUAGCUUAUGGAGGGGGAUAACUACGGGAAACUGUAGCUAAUACCGCGUAAUAUCGAAGGAUUAAAGUGUGGGACCUUCGGGCCACAUGCCAUAGGAUGAGCCCAAGUGGGAUUAGGUAGUUGGUGAGGUAAAGGCUCGCCAAGCCGACGAUCUCUAGCUGGUCUGAGAGGAUGACCAGCCACACUGGGACUGAGACACGGCCCAG
rnacentral:rRNA from 1 species